rnacentral:misc_RNA from 1 species
GGCGCCUACUCCCAACUUCAAGUAGAAGACUAGAAAGGGAAAAAACGCCCGACAAAAAAAGCCCGGCAGUAAGCUCCUCUCUCGAGUCUCAAACCGUGUGAAGAAAACAUUCCUAUAAAAAAAAUCAGAUUUGUUAUGCAAUCACGUCUCUUUACGUUUCUCAUCUCUGAAAAAGAAAAAAUCUCAAUUCGUCAUCCUCGGCUCACAUUCUUGGAGUUCAACCACCUUCCUUCCUUUUUGCCUAUUCUGCUCUCUUAUUCACUGCCAUUUCUAUAUAUCCAGUCUCUUUCACACUCCUCGCUAUUUGCCACAAUUCAAGCUCUGAAUCAAGCAAGGGAUCCAUGACUCUCUUAGUCUGUUUCGCUGUUGUACGCCUUAAAAAUAAAAUGGUUGCUAUUUUGGUACUGUAGCAUCUACUUCUGGAUCUUGUUGAUAUGAUUUUUUGGAAUCUGGGUUUUUCACUUGGGAGCCAAAGCACGAUUGCUAUUUGAACUUUGAGGAUUUAAAGCUACUUCAAUGCCAAAAGGGUUUUCUUGGAUUGGACCCGGAAGGUGAAAUUUUUUUAAUCUUUGUAGAGAUGCAAUCGAGGGUCGUUCCAUUAGAGGAGGGCAAGGACCCUAUGCUCUCAAUCAAAACCAGCCAACCUAAGGCGUUCCCGCUAAGGUUACUCCAGUUAUUUCUACUGUUUUUAGCUUUAUGUAUCGCAUUUUCAAUCAUCAGUACAUACACAAUCAAACGUUUUGGAGUUAACAAUGUGGUGACCACGGUUAAGACCACUUUCCAGCCCUGCCCUGAAGAACCUAAUGCUUUGGACCGUUGGAUUAAGCCUAGUUCAAAUUUGCUCCACAAGAUGAACGAUGAAGCCCUCUUUUGGAGAGCUUCGUUUGUUCCUAAAAUAAAAAAGUACCCUUUCAAGAGAGUUCCAAAGAUUGCAUUUAUGUUCUUGACGAAGGGGCCACUGCCUCUGGCAGCUCUUUGGGAAAGGUUUCUGAAGGGGCAUGACGGGUUGUAUUCAAUCUAUGUUCAUUCACCGCCAACAUUUGAAGCCAAAUUUCCACCUUCAUCCGUUUUUUAUGGAAGACAUAUCCCAAGUCAGAUUUCUGAAUGGGGUAAGAUGAAUAUGUGUGAUGCUGAAAGAAGGCUCCUUGCUAAUGCAUUGCUUGAUAUCUCUAAUGAAUGGUUCAUUCUCCUAUCUGAAUCUUGCAUUCCUCUGUACAAUUUCAGUAUCAUCUAUCACUACAUUAUGAAAUCCAGAUAUAGCUUCAUUGGUGCAUUUGAUGACCAUGGUCCAUAUGGAAGAGGACGGUAUAAUGAAAGCAUGGCACCUGAGGUGAAUAUCACCCAUUGGCGAAAAGGUUCUCAGUGGUUUGAGAUAAACCGAAGGCUUGGAGUUAAGAUAGUGGAAGAUACCACAUACUACCCAAAAUUUGAAAAAUUCUGUAAGCCACAUUGUUAUGUUGAUGAACAUUAUUUCCCCACCAUGCUAACCAUUCAAGCAGCACAUCUCUUAGCAAAUAGAAGCCUCACUUGGGUGGACUGGUCAAGGGGUGGAGCUCACCCGGCAACCUUUGGAAGAUCAGAUAUAACAGAGGAUUUUUUCAAAAGGAUUUAUGAAGGUCGGAACUGCACAUACAACAAUCAACCCUCUUCAAUGUGUUUUCUUUUUGGGAGAAAAUUUGCCCCAAGUGCUUUGGAGCCUCUGUUACGUAUAGCACCUAAGGUUUUGGGCUUCUGAUAAAAGACCACGUCAACUAAUUUUGAUCUGUGGAAAAUAAUCCUGGGGAACGUGCAUGUGAGAUUCAUUAUUUGCAUCUUAAUUGUUCUGUAAGAAGUAUUGGUGAUGGGUUGUGCUUUCUUGCUUGUAUACUUCUUUUGCUUAUCUCUUGUCCAAAAAUAUAUAUGUACAGGGAAUGCUUUUAGCUAGUUUAGCUUGCAUCAUAUCUUGACAUUUUUGUGUUAGAGAUCAGGAUAUCUAAUUAAUUUUUUGAUUUUUUUUUUAAUAAAUGUACCAGUGGUAAUACUUAUAAAAACUUAAGGUACAGUAUUUGGAGGUCAUAAUCUUAUAAUUUUUGUG